rnacentral:misc_RNA from 1 species
UCAGGAUUCAAUUAAAUCUUACCAUGAGGUUCCCAAAAUGAAACUACUAUAAGGGUUUUUAAGAUCUCUCCCAAAGAAAUGGAGGCAAAUUCAUUAUGACAUACUGAAACGACCUCCAAUUGGUUAUCAAUAAAGAUAGAUAGCAAUAGCUUAUAUGAACUUUGGGCAUACCUCAUGCCUUCCAGUUAUGGAUAAAUUGACAUUAACAAAUCUAAUCCAAUAUACUUGUGAAGUCAAUAUUCAUUUAGUUUGGCUCAAAAAUUUUCAGGGCAAUCACCAUAAUUUCAAUGAACAUCCAUAUCAAAUCACAAUAUUGUUGGCGUAUCUGUCUAACCAUUGACCUAUCAAAUAUUGUUGGAAGAGGGGCUUAUUUGUUCUUCUUUGGUUCUCCUGCAUAAUCAUCUAUUAGAGCUUCAACAUCGUUCCAGAACAAACCUUCCGCUAAAACUCCAUCCUUGGUGAACCAUUGGGUGACGCUCCUGGUAAACUGCACUGGUUUCCCUGCAGAAAUUGAUUUGGGAUCUGCACUUGCUAUGCUAAGUGUGUAGUCAUCAGAAAAUCUAGGCAAUUUGGAAGAGACCACCAAACCAGUGCUGGUGUAAGAUCCCUGCACACAAAAAAAAAAAAAAAGGGUUCAACAAUUAAUACAACCAAGUCUUCCGGGGAUGGAUGUUUGAAAGUACAAUAGCAUUCACAAAACAAUAGUUCAUAAACAGAACAUAAAACCAGACUUGUUCCAUUAUCCAGUAGGCUAAAUUCUUACUGUUCACAAACCAAAAAAAGUAAGGAAUGAAUAUGAACAGAUUUAUCGUUUUUCUGAAGAUAUGCACCAUUUAAAAAUAUGAACAAAACAGAAUCCAAGUACACAAGUUUGUGUACUUUGGAUUUUGUUUUCCUCUAAAAUAUGUUUCAUACUUAUACACAUGAUGCACAUAUUUUGAGAACAGACAAAUUUCUCCCUCUCUAGAACAAGCUAGCAUUCAUUAAAUGCCAAUCAGGUUAUAAACUAAAUAGCUCUUUUUCUUGAAGAACAUAAAGUCUAGAGGACAGACUCAUGCAUAUGAAGUUUACAGGGCAAAGUCGACAGGAAUCCCCAGCUCAAAUUUUCAAUUCCGAAAAGACACUGGCUAGUCAAUAAAAAAACUCAACUAAGGGCAAAAGUCCUGCAGAACUAAAAUCGUCUGAGAGAGAGAGAGAGAGAGA